AGAGAGAGACAUGCGCGCAUAUCAAUAAGCGGAGGAAAAGAAACUAACUAGGAUUCCCUCAGUAACGGCGAGUGAAGCGGGAAGAGCUCAAAUUUGAAAUCUUCAAGGUUCUACCUUGACGAAUUGUAGUUUAAAGAAGUGUUUUCUGUUGGAGUUUUGGUAAAAGUUCUUUGGAAUAGGACAUCAUAGAGGGUGAGAAUCCCGUAUUUGACCAUUAUUUCCAGCUUUGUGAUACACUUUCAAAGAGUCGGAUUGUUUGGGAAUGCAGUCCAAAAUGGGUGGUAAAUUUCAUCUAAAGCUAAAUACUGGCGAGAGACCGAUAGCGAACAAGUACCGUGAGGGAAAGAUGAAAAGAACUUUGAAAGGAGAGUUAAACAGUACGUGAAAUUGUCAAAAGGGAAGCGUUUGACACCAGUGUUGUUUUCUCGAAAAUCAAUUAAAAAAGGCAGGAUUUUGUGUUGUAUUGACUUUAUCAGCUUUCUGCACUCUUUUCUUGUCUUUUUUAAUGCACUUUUCGUUUAACAAGUCAACAUCAAUUUCUUUUGUUGUAAAAGGGUCAUUGGAAGGUGGCUUUCUUUUCGGAGAAAGUGUUUAUAGCCUUUGGCCUCUGCAAUCGGAGAGAUUGAGGUCUGCAGCGUAGAUCCUUCGGGGUUAGAUACAUUUGUGCUAAGUUAUAGCCUUUUCAUAGACAACCUUGUUGACUAUGAUCAGUCAUGUAGCUUACUCGCUUAUGCUAUUUUACCUACGCUUAGGAUGUUGAUGUGAUACUGCGAGC
rnacentral:rRNA from 1 species